rnacentral:precursor_RNA from 1 species
ACAUAUCACUCAGACCCAGGGCCUUUGGUAGUUGCUAUGGGACUUGGAGAGAGUAGCUAGCCAUGUGUCUUCUUCCUCCUCUGCCUCUCCCUCCUUUCAUCUUCCUCAAGGGCUUGCUUGCUACCUAGCUUCUUCCUCUUCCGUGCAUGCAACUCUCUCCCGGUGUACCAUUUCUUCUAGCUAGCUUGGUGAGAGAGGGGCAAAGGUCAAGAGAGGGGCAAAGGUCAGAGAGAGCACACAUAUAUGUUACACAAGCUAGCCUCGAUGGAGUAUAUAUCGUCGAAGUCUGCUCGCUGCAGCCAGCCGGUGAUUUCUGGUGUGGCAUCAUCAAGAUUCACACAAUGUAUGGCAUGCAUGCCAUGCUCUCAUCCUUCCCCAUCUGUCCGUGCUUGUGAACUUGAGUUUCGUUCAUGCAUGGGAGAUGGAUGGAUGGAUCGAUGAGCUUUGCUAGCUAGCCAGCGUACUAUGUGUGGGAAUCUUGAUGAUGCUGCAUCGGUGAUCAAUGGCUAAUACACAUGGACACCUGGCUCAGUUCGUCCUUGCAUGCUCUCUUUCUCUCUUGCAAGGUCCUCUCAGAUCUAUCUAGUACGUCCGGCCGAGUUCCGAUCCAGGUAAAACUAAUAAGGUGGCAUUAACCAUCACGAGUUUGUGGUCAGCUUUCUAGGUAUACCGCUUGCUCAAUACGUGCCUUAGUUAAUGCCAUUGAUCUAUAUUUCGAGCAGGUAGGGGUAGGUAGGUAAACAGAGAGUAUCUUAUGCACUAACUUCAUACCAUAGGCCAAGAAGUUCACGUUGCCAAGUUCAAGUUUGUUCCCUCGAACGUGAGCCAGUUAAGCUCAAGUUAGUGAGGCUAUUAUCUUAUGUAACAAGUUUUACGCUUGGAGUACCAAGUGCUUUGGCACUAGCUAGCUGGGUUGUGUAGCCCAAGUAGUACGUACUACUGUGGUAACCGCAAUGGCAUCAGCUAGCUAGCUGGCCGUUGAUCGACUGACAUAUAUAUUCAAAAAAAAAAAAAAAAA